CCCUUAGAUGUUCUGGGCCGCACGCGCGCUACACUGACUGCUCCAACAAGUUACCUGGGCUGACAAGCAUCCGGGAAAUCUUGCAAAGGCAGUCGUGAUGGGGAUAGAUUCUUGUAAUUUUUGAUCUUCAACGAGGAAUUCCUAGUAAACGCAAGUCAUCAGCUUGCAUUGAUUACGUCCCUGCCCUUUGUACACACCGCCCGUCGCAUCUACCGAUUGAAUGGAGAGGCAAAGUCUUCGGACCGUGACGCUUGGGAGUCAAAUCUCGGGCUGUCGUGGGAAGUGGAUUAAACCUUUCUAUUUAGAGGAAGGUAAAGUCGUAACA
rnacentral:rRNA from 1 species